rnacentral:piRNA from 1 species
UGGGAAACAAGGGUAGAAAGAAUGCCUUGGG